GGUAGUGAGGCGGAUUUGGUUGUACGCGACCGUAGCGGGUUAGGGCAACGAUAAGAAGUCCUUGAAGGUUCGAUUCCUUCCACUACCA
rnacentral:tRNA from 1 species